rnacentral:rRNA from 1 species
UACGAAGGGGGCUAGCGUUGCUCGGAAUCACUGGGCGUAAAGGGUGCGUAGGCGGGUCUUUAAGUCAGGGGUGAAAUCCUGGAGCUCAACUCCAGAACUGCCUUUGAUACCGAGGAUCUUGAGUUCGGGAGAGGUGAGUGGAACUGCGAGUGUAGAGGUGAAAUUCGUAGAUAUUCGCAAGAACACCAGUGGCGAAGGCGGCUCACUGGCCCGAUACUGACGCUGAGGUGCGAAAGCGUGGGGAGCAAACAGG